CCACCCUAUAAGAUGUAUUCCACCUAUCAGUGACAGGAUUAUUUUAAUUUUUUUUUGACGUAGCUGAAUUUUCUUUUUAUAAUAUCAAGUGACGGGACGAACAAUUCGUGCACCUGAAGGUUCAAGCAGCGACAUCUAUCGACACAAAUAUGUACUAAUGGCAACGCUCACAAUGACACCUAGCGGAUCUUACUAAAACUUGAUCGUAUAUACUACGUGGAGUUGAUUUCUCAAGAUUCCCACACAAUAUCAUUUGAUCAACGAGGAGGUACCUACGUUACAUAGACGUCUUGACUUUUUUGUACUAUCCUCGUAUUUUUUAACAAUCUCCACAAUGUGAUUUCCGGUAGCCAGGCA